rnacentral:rRNA from 1 species
UACGUAGGGCGCAAGCGUUGUCCGGAAUUAUUGGGCGUAAAGAGCUCGUAGGUGGUUUGUUGCGUCUGCCGUGAAAACCCGAGGCUUAACCUCGUGGCUUGCGGUGGAUACGGGCAGACUUGAGGUAGGUAGGGGAGAAUGGAAUUCCCGGUGUAGCGGUGAAAUGCGCAGAUAUCGGGAGGAACACCGGUGGCGAAGGCGGUUCUCUGGGCAGUAACUGACGCUGAGGAGCGAAAGCGUGGGGAGCGAACAGG